rnacentral:tRNA from 1 species
ACCGCCGUAGUUCAACUGGAUAGAACGAUGCCCUCCUAAGGCGUAAAUCUGGGUUCGAGUCCCAGCGGAGGUGCCA